CAGCUGCCAGGUGCAUAAAAUCUAUUGUGUUUUGCUACCCAUCUCACACAGGUAGCUGAGGGACUAGGGGUGGAAUCAGGGUGUUGAUAGCAUCUGUUCCAGGCCAACGAUUGGCUUGAAUGGUGUCAAAACUAAAAAUGUGCCAGAAUAUGCAGAUAAAUCACAAUAAAAUGAUUGCCUGAGGAGACAACCAGAAAAGAAAAAAUUUAUGAAGAAGAAAAGGCAUAAAAAUGUCUUAAGAUGAAGGGGAGAUUACAUAUGUUCCUUUUGUAAAUCAGAGGUUGGAGCAAGAGAUAAACUCCAGCAGCACAACUGCUUAGGAAGCUAAGAAAACCAUUGAUGUGGUUUCUUGGAAAUGUUAAGACUGAUUUUGAAUUGCGCUUCAUUUCCCCCAAGUAAAUGGGCAAACGUUGCGGAAUCAUCCCUUCAGAGCACCAUGGAACCCCAACAUGAAACUUUGCUAAAGAACUGACAGAUAAGCUUGGAUACCUCAAAGAGUGUAACUACUCCAUGA